rnacentral:lncRNA from 13 species
GACCAUCUCAUUUUGCCGUGAAGAUCCUAUGCAGCCAGCAGAGCAGGUGUGGAUGUCCCAUCAUAGAGCACCAAGGCCUGUGUCAGCUGCUAAGGAUCUGAUCCUAAGCUAAACAGGCAUUUGCCCACCCUCACAGAGCUUACUAUCCAGUACACAGGGAGUGGAGUAAGUGAGAGAUAAAUUAAGUUUUAAAAACAUAUCAAAACUAUAUGUGGGAGACAAAACACAGCAGACAUCUGGCACAGAUGGCUGCAGGGGUAACAACUGCCAGGAGCCAAAGAGGACCUCAGCCUGAGCAGGGGUGCCUGGCGGUGGAAGUGGUGGUUUUUGGGGUGGGCAGAGUCAACCUGCUGCGAAGGGGUGGGGUCGUGGAGCGGGAAGAGAACACAUGGGAGCGGGGCCAGACUAGCAGUGGGUGUGGCUGUUGGUGAGGUGGGCGGAGUCAGCCUGGGAGGUGGGUUCCCGGAGCAUUGGGGCGGGGCAGCCUGUGGCCUGGAGCGGUGGUUGGUGAUCUUUGGAGUGGCAGUUGGGCCAUUGGGCGGUUGGGCCAUUGGGCAGUUGGACCGGGUGGCCUGGAACUUGGGAGCGGGGGUCAGUCAUUUAAAAGCUGUGCCCAGCGCUGUUGGAAGCAUCCAGUCCAGCCCCAGACUGAAGUGAGCAUCUGCUGGGACAAUAUGGCUGGACCCACGUGGCAGGAAAUGGCGUUUUCUGAGGAUCAGCCCUGCCAAAGUAGAUGCCAUUGGAUAUAGCUUGUAAACAGCAAGGUGGUGCAUAUACCUCUAUGUGGGAUCCUUAGGUGAGAGAGGAAUGGCAUAUGAUGGAGGAUUCUGAGAGCAUCAGUUGGCUCUUUUCUCUGAGGAGGCAGCAACCACGUCUUCUCUAUGGAGGUAUGCAAGAGCUGUCCAGCUGCAUCACUGUCUGGGACAAAUACCCGGGUUCGCUAUCUUGCACCAAGAAGAUUAAAGAUACAGACACAUCUUGGAAGGCACAAUACACACAGGUCUUUAUGGUCCACCAGAGCUGUGCAGCCACGGGCCAGCCAGGAGGUGGACAGCUGCUGGGCACUCUUCUGAAACAGGCAGGAUCUCACUCUGUUGCCGAGGCUGGAUUACAGCUCACUGCAACCUUGAAUUCUCCCUCAAGCAAUCCUCCCUGCUCUGCCUUUCAAAGCACUAGCAUUACAGGCCAAAGCACCACUCCCAGACACUAUAAUAUAAACUGUCUUCUUUAAUAUUUCCAGUAGUUGCAGAGUAGAUCAGAUAAGGGUUCUUCUUGACCCUUGCUUCAAGUUUCAUUCUCUCUUAAAUGAUUGAAGGUUGACUUCCAUGGUCCCCUAAAGAAUGUGGAAAGUGUGUCUUCAGAUCCAUGUAGUGUUCAUGGAAUCCCCAGAGAAGGCUGAUGUAAAACGCUUUUUUUCUCCCAAAUGUCUCAAAAAGUUGUAUUUCCUGGGUCCUAGGGAUCUGCAAGCCUCUAAAGGCAUUUCCAUUGUCACUACCAUCAGGUGUGAACUGUAAUCUGGCACAGUCCCAAGAACUGUCAUAAUACAUGCUGAAGAAAUAUUGUGAUGGUAACUUGCUGUUACCAACUGUGAAGUCAUUAGCUAGAGGAGUCUGAAAUCUGAAACACUGUGGAAAGAACAGAAAGAUCCUGUCUGUUUCCCACAAUUGUUCUGCUGAAAGUUGUCAAAAUUAUUUUCUUUUGAGACAGGGUCUCACUCCGUUGCCCAGGCUGGAGUACAGUGUUGCUACCUCAGGUCACUGCUGCCUCCAUUGCCUGAGGAUUGCCCAAGCAAUACUCCCACCUGUCACGUGAGUAGCUGGAGCCACAGGCCUGCACCACUAUGCCCAGCUAAUUACUUUUAUUUGUAGAGACAGAGUCUCUCUAUCUUACAUAGGCUGGUCUCGAACUCCUGGGCUCAAGUAAUCCUCCUGCCAUGGCUUCUCAAAGUGCUUGGGAUUACAGAUAUGAGCUACCAUGCCUGGCCUCACAGGAGACAUUUUUAAUGUCCUUCUUGACAGUCUACAAAUUUUUUUUUUUGAGACAGGGUCUUGCUCUGUCACCCAGGCUGGAGUGCAGUGAUGCCAUCAUAGCUCACUAUAGCCUAGAACUCCUGAGCCCAAGGAUCUUCCCACCUCAGCCUCCUGAGUAGCUGGGACUACAGGCACUAGCCACAAGGCCCAGAUAAUUUAUUAAUUUUUUUUUGUAGAGUCAGGGUCUCACUAUGUUGCCCAGGCUGGUCUCAAACUCCUGGCCUCAAAUAAUCUUCUGCCUCAGCCUCCCUAAGUGCUGGCAUUAUGGGUAUCAGCUGUCACGCCUGGCUACAAAUCUUAAUGUUUUCCCUUUCUGUUGUUCUUUUCUCAGGUAAUCAAAGUGGGUAGAGAAUGAUCUUUUCCCUAGGCUCCAGUGUGUAAGAAUUAAAGAAAAAGGAAAGAAACACAAACAGUGGCUUGAUGGUCAAGGAUAUUUUAGAGAAAACAAACCUGAGAGGGACUUCUGGCUGAGUUAGGUCAGAGGCACGCUCUCUUACCAUUUUUAAGGAUUCAGGGUGGGAGUGUUUAUCAGAGGCUUGAACUGCUUCUGUGUCUCUUUAGUUGUGCUUAUCUGGGAGGGAGAGUUGUGUGUCUGUUCCCAUACAUCUUUCUGCAGUGCAGGCAUAUCCCCCGAGUCUGCUUUUAGCUUUCCUAUUUUAGUGCACCUGAAGGGAAAGGAAUGUGCUUAUUAAGGCCCACUGUUUUACUGGGGCCCAUUGUGUGAAGGUGAAGUUUGGCAGUUACCCAAGAGACUUUUCCCCCAUCUCCCUCUGUGCCCCAGCUGUGUUAUCUGUAUUUUACUGUCUGCUCUUUUUGGCUGCUUGUAGUUAGAAAAGAAGUGAUUUCCUUGAAACGCAUGAGGCUAGAAGAGGAGAUAUAACUUAAAGUGGCAGUGUUUGUCCAGGAUGAUGGUGCUCUUACUUUGUCACAGUGGGCAUGGGGAUUCAGGCCACUGCCAGUGAAUUUCAGAGCCCACACACACAGGCCAGAACUAAAUUGUGAGUGUUUCAAAAAUAAAACAAACAAACAAAAAAGCUUUAUUGAAGUA